rnacentral:rRNA from 1 species
UACGUAGGGUGCGAGCGUUGUCCGGAAUUAUUGGGCGUAAAGGGCUCGUAGGCGGUCUGUUGCGUCGGGAGUGAAAACUCAGGGCUUAACCCUGAGCCUGCUUCCGAUACGGGCAGACUAGAGGUAUGCAGGGGAGAACGGAAUUCCUGGUGUAGCGGUGAAAUGCGUAGAUAUCUGGAGGAACACCGGUGGCGAAGGCGGCAUCCUGGACCGAUAUUGACGCUGAUGCGCGAAAGCCAGGGGAGCAAACGGG